GGACAUAGUUCAGUUGGUACAGUGCUUGUCUGGCAUGCACAAGGCUCUGAGUUCAAUCCUCAGUACCA
rnacentral:tRNA from 1 species